AUUGCCCUAGUAACGGCGAGUGAAGCGGCAACAGCUCAAAUUUGAAAUCUGGCUCUCGGGCCCGAGUUGUAAUUUGUAGAGGAUACUUUUGAUGCGGUGCCUUCCGAGUUCCCUGGAACGGGACGCCAUAGAGGGUGAGAGCCCCGUCUGGUUGGAUGCCAAAUCUCUGUAAAGUUCCUUCAACGAGUCGAGUAGUUUGGGAAUGCUGCUCUAAAUGGGAGGUAUAUGUCUUCUAAAGCUAAAUACCGGCCAGAGACCGAUAGCGCACAAGUAGAGUGAUCGAAAGAUGAAAAGCACUUUGAAAAGAGAGUUAAAAAGUACGUGAAAUUGUUGAAAGGGAAGCGUUUAUGACCAGACUUGGGCUUGGUUAAUCAUCUGGGGUUCUCCCCAGUGCACUUUUCCAGUCCAGGCCAGCAUCAGUUUUCCCCGGGGGAUAAAGGCGGCGGGAAUGUGGCUCUCUUCGGGGAGUGUUAUAGCCCACCGUGUAAUACCCUGGGGGGGACUGAGGUUCGCGCAUCUGCAAGGAUGCUGGCGUAAUGGUCAUCAACGACCCGUCUUGAAACACGGACCCCU
rnacentral:rRNA from 1 species